GACGAACGCUGGCGGCGUGCUUAACACAUGCAAGUCGAACGGAAAGGCCCGCUUGCGGGUACUCGAGUGGCGAACGGGUGAGUAACACGUGGGCAACCUGCCCUCAGCUUCGGGAUAACACUUGGAAACAGGUGCUAAUACCGGAUAAUAACCUUUCAUCGCAUGGUGGUUGGUUCAAAGUUUUUCGGCUGAGGAUGGGCCCGCGGCCUAUCAGCUUGUUGGUGGGGUAAUGGCCUACCAAGGCGACGACGGGUAGCCGGCCUGAGAGGGCGACCGGCCACACUGGGACUGGGACACGGCCCAGACUCCUACGGGAGGCAGCAGUGGGGAAUAUUGCGCAAUGGGCGGAAGCCUGACGCAGCGACGCCGCGUGAGGGAUGACGGCCUUCGGGUUGUAAACCUCUUUCAGCUCCGACGAAGCGCAAGUGACGGUAGGAGCAGAAGAAGCACCGGCCAACUACGUGCCAGCAGCCGCAGUAA
rnacentral:rRNA from 1 species